GAUGAACGCUAGCGGCAGGCUUAAUACAUGCAAGUCGAGGGACAGCACAGGUAGCAAUACUGGGUGGUAACCGGCAAACGGGUGCGGAACACGUACACAACCUUCCUUUAAGUGGGGGAUAGCCCAGAGAAAUUUGGAUUAAUACCCCGUAAUAUAGUUGAAUGACAUCAUUUGAUUAUUAUAGCUACGGCGCGUAAUGAUUGGUGUGCGGCUGAUUAGAUAGUUGGCGGGGUAACGGCCCAUCAAGUCUACGAUCAGUAGCUGAUGUGAGGGAAUGAUCAGCCACACGGGAACUGAGACACGGGCCCGACUCCGACGGGAGGCAGCAGUAAGGAAUAUUGGUCAAUGGACGCGAGUCUGAACCAGCCAUGCCGCGUGAAGGAUUAAGGUCCUCUGGAUUGUAAACUUCUUUUAUUUGGGACGAAAAAGGGCCUUUCUAGGUCAACUGACGGUACCAGAUGAAUAAGCACCGGCUAACUCCGUGCCAGCAGCCGCCGUAAGAC
rnacentral:rRNA from 1 species